GGAAGGGGCCAAAGCACGUCACCAAAUUCAAUUGAUGUAAAUUACACUGGUGGGCGUUCCCCUUCCUCUGAAUAAUUAAUUUCAUGCACAAUUAUUUCCAGGUCAUCGUCAUAGUGGUUGCCAUCGUGGCUAAAACCUUUUAAUUUUUGAGAACCCAACCGAAAAGGACUCGAACGUAAGAAAGAAGAAAUAAAAUAUCUGUAGUUCCUGAAAUCAAUGGAAAAGAGCUCUGUAUUUGUUAGGUUGGUCCCCCUUGGUCUCGGUGUCAAUUGUCGACUGAUUUUCGCGAGUGAAGUGCGGCCUAGGAAUUACGGUUUCAGGAUUUCUUCAGCGCCAAAAUUUUACGAAGAUAUUUCCACGGACAGUUUUUAGAAUUCUACAUUAAUUUUGAAAGACUAUCGUUUCAAAAUCAUCCGGAAGACAACCAAGCUCUGAAAUGUCCUGCUUUGAUACUUGAAAUUCCAUUCGUUGCAGUUACAUACCUGUCAUGGAGAGAGUGUUUUGAGAUCAUCGCCAGGCUUGAAGUCGAAGGUGAAAAUUUGGCCCACUUCGACAAUGGCCGGUCACCCAGUGCCAGAUUUAAUGCAAGGUGAAGGAGAGGAAGAGCUGAAAAACGCUAUUUUAAGCGCAAAACCUCCAACCGCCAUCCGAGUUAGCAGAGCUAAUGCUGAUUCAAAUAAUGCCCAAGAGAAUGGUGAUCGUCAGUUGUCUUAUGUGAAUUUGGCUCGUUGUUUGACGGGUUACACGGAUUUGACCAGAUAUAACAGCCGCCUUAGAGAAGUCUUAGAUCGCGUGAAGCAAGCCCAGCUCGUUUUAUUCUUGAUACCUCAACUCACAGUACCAAAGAUAUGUCUUGUUUGCCUCCUUCAAUGAAUCCAUUAAACCCACCACGGAAAGGACAGAAACAUGUACCUCGUCUACGGAAACAGUCACAAGUCAUUCAUCGAGCAGCGAAUUGCACGAUUGUACGGUUCCUCGGCUGUUCAACGGAAAGUCCCCAGUCCACAGCCAAAGAACUCAGAGGUAAGGUUCACCUUGUGAUUUUCCUAGUUAUUUUAUUAUCCAAAAAACAUAAAAAACUAGAUUCAUAGGGAUGAAAUUAGUCAGAUAAAUACAAGUCUCAUCAAAAAAUUAGUUUGCUGAAUGGUUAUCAGAAAUUUAAUGUCAAAACGACGAAGUUUGGAACUAAAGCAGCACUCAUUUUUUCAAAUUGGUGUACUGGGUGAGUUUAUCAUUAACGAAUGUGAACUCCUAAUCCACCACUCUUCUAAUGCACAAAUUGUACCACAAUUAAAGGCUUGAUUAACAUAAUUAACAAUGCCAUUGAUAAAAUCUCUCAGUUAAGAGGAGAGGAGAGGAAGGAGAGGAUGUCUGUGUGUCCAAAAAUUUCAGCUGUAUCUGCAAUUAUAAGGCAGGCCUGUGAUUCAGAAAUUUACAUAAUCCUGCUGGGAAUGUUUUUUAGUAGGCUAUUAGAAAAUGACAAGCAGCCCCACAAUAUUUACUAAACAUUUGUAUGCGAACAUGCUCGUUAUGGGUUUGUAAAAUUCUAAAGUAACUGUUUAGAGGUGAUCGUACCUAGUUUCAAUGAAACAAAAGUAGAAGCAAAUCAGAGUAUGAACAGGUCUUGAAAGCAUGGAACUGUCUGGGAAUUUUAUGAAGAAAAGUGGAAGUUUGAAAAAUCUUGAAACUUGAAAUCUGAAGAAAAUCAGUGAUGUCACAAGGUUUUGAAGUCCAAUGCUCUGGGUUACAUUCUGAUAAAGGAAGAGAGAAAUAAUUUUCAAGGAAAAAUUGAAAUUUUAGUUAGCUGAACAAUUAAUAUCUUCAGAAAAAAGUUUGUCGUGUUUCUGUCAUUAGCGUUUUCAUUUUCGGUUGUACGCACGCAAAUUGCCAUAGUUAUAAAAUCAGGGAGAAUUUUCAUCAAUUUAGUGAGAGAAAAUCUGAAAAAAAUCAGAGAAUGUCUUCGCUCCGAGUCUGUAGAUAUCCUGUAAGUUACUGAAGCUGAUUUGGAUAAUGAUGUGGUAUAGUAGUUAAUAAGUUAUAGAAUUCAAACAAUAAAGCUGUGAAAGUACAAGUAUAUGACUCUAGAAGCCUGUGUCUUCUCUUUAUUUUUCAGCAGGAGGUAGCAGCGUCAACUGAAAACAGUAAUGAUAAUUUGCCUGUCAUGAAAUUACUUAGACCCGAAUUCUUGGCACAGUUUCAAUUUAGAUCUUCCAAAAGUCCUAUGACUAAGUACAGGUAUGUUUAAAUAUAAAUUUCUUGUAUACAUUAAUAGUUAAAAGGGAGCUUUCCUGAAAAUGGUAGUUUAGAGAAAAGUUUGUCUCACUCUUCCAAAGAAUGGAGUAUCUCAUUAUUUUAUGGCAAUCGAGUUUACUUCUCCAUCAUUUGGUGAAUUACGUAAAGCAAGCAGUGAGAACUGUAAGUGAAGUUGAUGAUUGUGAUUCAAUCAAUCAUCAAAAAAUGAAAGAGUAUUAUUUUUACUGUCAAGUUUUCAUAAGGGGCAUUACAAAUAUUAUGUAAGCCACUUGGGGGUAGAACUUGCCUCACAGGGUCUUACAAGAGGGAACUACAGCUCAGUUAUACGUUAGUCAAUAUUUUUCAAGAAAAAUAUUCUUUUUAGCUAGGUAUUUUUCAGGCUUUCUCAGUUAUUGUAAAAAAAUUUGGAGGAAGGGUCAGGUCAAUCUUUCAUAAAUUGUUAGGAAGAUGACACGGUGCCUUGGAAGAAAGGGGAGUUAAAACAUAGAUCAAAAUUGUUUACGCACUUGAAUGGCCCCAUUGAUCUAUGAACUUCCUUCUCUGAAAUUCACCAUUGUCCCUUUUAAUGAGUUAGUACAUCCACUGUAUUAUUCAAUGCUUCUAUUAUUUUGUCAAAUCCAUAAUUUUAUUCUGUCAGCUUGAUUUCUUCUUUGUGUAAAAGAAUUUGAUGAAUUUUCUUUGUUACAGCUCGCGGACAUCAAGAGCAAGGUUGGAAGAAAUGGCCAACAGUCGCGUAUACCAAAUGGCAAUAGUUUAGAUAGUAGUAUAGUUAGUGUAGCUGUUUCAAAUGGAGAUUCUAAUAAAAAUAAUGAACCUACCAAAAUUACCAAUGGAGACAGCGUUGAUGGAACGGCUGUGAAAACGAAGAAUAUACCUGUGAAAUUAUUUUCUAAUUUAGCUGAGGAAAAAAAUGGCCACUAUUACUUAAAGGUUCGUUCUACCUAUCUCUCUUAAAUAAUUCCACCUUCCUAUCUCAGAUUUAUUUGUAUCAAGUCACUUAUUGACGGUGAAACUCUCGAACCACAUAUCUCGCUUGCAGGAUUUCAAAAUGUAUGCUCCUAUUUUUUUGUUGAAGGAUAACAAAUCAACAGUAUUCCUCAAAGUUAUCACAGAAUUUUCUUGACACAAAGAAGAAAAAUCUCGGAAGUCAUAAAGAACUGACAUUGAGCAGUUUUCCUCUUAAAAAAAAUAAAGUUUGACAGGUCCUUUGCCUUGUCUCCAACUCAGAUACAUUUUUUGGAAGUUUCACCGCUGAUAUAUUUGUCGUAGGCCCAGCGGUCACACAAUCAUGAUUGCAUUAUUGGGAAGUUUCUACACCCAUGGUUCAGUGACAGUGGCCUCUCUCGUCAGUAGACCCUGUUCAAGGUUCUUAGGACAAGUUGCGAACACCCAGAAAAAAUUACUUAUAGUCCACGCCACGAAAAGUGGCGGGUGAGGGGCGGAGCCAGUCGGCCGGUCCAGUCUAUCGUUGAAGGGUUGAAGCGCAGAUAUUGGCCCGUGGUUGAGCGACGACCGGCCAGGGUAAGUUCACACUGAGCGCGCCUUGAUCCCGGCGCCCGGCGUGGCAUCCAGCGUGGCGAGCCGCGUCGCGUAUUCUCCCC
rnacentral:lncRNA from 1 species